rnacentral:rRNA from 1 species
CCUCAGAAUGGUUGGAAAUCAUUCAUAGAGUGUAAAGGCAUAAGGGAGCUUGACUGCGAGACCUACAAGUCGAGCAGGGUCGAAAGACGGACUUAGUGAUCCGGUGGUUCCGCAUGGAAGGGCCAUCGCUCAACGGAUAAAAGCUACCCCGGGGAUAACAGGCUUAUCUCCCCCAAGAGUUCACAUCGACGGGGAGGUUUGGCACCUCGAUGUCGGCUCAUCGCAUCCUGGGGCUGUAGUCGGUCCCAAGGGUUGGGCUGUUCGCCCAUUAAAGCGGUACGCGAGCUGGGUUCAGAACGUCGUGAGACAGUUCGGUCCCUAUCCGUCGUGGGCGUAGGAAAUUUGAGAGGAGCUGUCCUUAGUACGAGAGGACCGGGAUGGACAUACCUCUGGUGUACCAGUUGUCGUGCCAACGGCAUAGCUGGGUAGCUAUGUGUGGACGGGAUAAGUGCUGAAAG